ACAGCAAAAGUUCAUGGAGAUGAUUACCUAUGGCCAGCGUGGACGCAUGGAGGACCAGUGCUGCUCAUUGGAUCCUAGCAAGAGUGCUCCUUGCACACCCAGAUACACAGAGAAAAAACCUGUUGCAAUUUCAGAUCCUGAAAUGUUCUUCAAUCUGUUGGCCGACACCCAGAGCCGACGGCUCGAUGACCAGCGAGUGUCGCUUCCGUCAUUACCAGGAUUACAAAAUGAAAAGGGCACUUCUAUGGGAGAUUCAAGCUACUUGUGUUACAUGGUCUCUAAAGUUCAAGGCUCCAGAAUGGAUGAUCAAAGGUGUUCAUUACCUCAAAUGCUACCCCCAGAGACACCGUGUUCAUCAAACAAGGAUCAGUCUGAAUCUGGUUUAAACCCAUUACGCUCAGCCUCCUUCAGCUCAGACAUAAAACAACUAAAAAGUGAGGAUAAAAAACCUCAAAAACAGGUAUCUCCGCGCUUUCAGUUUUAGCCCCCCAAAAGAAAUUGUAAACAGC
ensembl:lncRNA